GAUGAACGCUGGCGGCGUGCCUAACACAUGCAAGUCGAACGGAAAGACCCUGCUUUUGUGCGGUGCUCGUUUGCGGAACGCGUGCGUGUCACGUGUGUAACCUGCCCUUGUCUUUCUGAUAACUUCACGAAACUGGGGCUACUAUCGGAUAGAAUAUCUUGAACCGUGGUGGGCAUUGGAAAGUUUCGGCGGUUGGGGAUGGAAUGGCGGCUUAUCAGCUUGAUUGUGGGGUAGUUGCUUACCCAGGCUUUGACGGGUAGCCGGCCUGAGAGGGGGAACGGGCACAAUGGGACUGAGAGACGGCCCAGACUGCUACGGGAGGCAGCAGGGGGGAGCAUGGCACAAUGGGCGGACGUGUGAGACAGAAACGCCGGGUGCGGAAAGACGGCUUACGGGGUGUAAACAGCUGUCGCCUGUGACGAAGCGGUAGUGACGGUAAUGAAUAAAGAAGCACCGGCUAACUACGUG
rnacentral:rRNA from 1 species